rnacentral:tRNA from 1 species
GGGGAAUUAGUUUAGUUGGUUAAAACAUCUGCCUUGCACGCAGAAGACAACGUUUCGAUUACGUUAUUCUCCA